rnacentral:rRNA from 1 species
AUACGGAGGGUGCAAGCGUUAAUCGGAAUCACUGGGCGUAAAGCGCACGUAGGCUGUUUGGUAAGUCAGGGGUGAAAUCCCGCAGCUCAACUGCGGAAUUGCCCUUGAUACUGCUGGACUCGAGUUCGGGAGAGGGUGGCGGAAUUCCAGGUGUAGGAGUGAAGUCCGUAGAUAUCUGGAGGAACAUCAGUGGCGAAGGCGGCCACCUGGACCGAUACUGACGCUGAGGUGCGAAAGCGUGGGGAGC